rnacentral:rRNA from 1 species
UGGGGAAUUUUGGACAAUGGGCGAAAGCCUGAUCCAGCAAUGCCGCGUGUGUGAAGAAGGCCUUCGGGUUGUAAAGCACUUUUGUCCGGAAAGAAAUCCUUGGCUCUAAUACAGUCGGGGGAUGACGGUACCGGAAGAAUAAGCACCGGCUAACUACGUGCCAGCAGCCGCGGUAAUACGUAGGGUGCAAGCGUUAAUCGGAAUUACUGGGCGUAAAGCGUGCGCAGGCGGUUUGCUAAGACCGAUGUGAAAUCCCCGGGCUCAACCUGGGAACUGCAUUGGUGACUGGCAGGCUAGAGUAUGGCAGAGGGGGGUAGAAUUCCACUGUAGCAGUGAAAAUGCGUAGAGAUGUGGAGGAAUACCGAUGGCGAAGGCAGCCCCCUGGGCCAAUACUGACGCUCAUGCACGAAAGCGUGGGGAGCAAAACAGGAUUAGAUACCCUGGUAGUCCACGCCCUAAAACGAUGUCAACUAGUUGUUGGGGAUUCAUUUCCUUAGUAACGUAGCUAACGCGUGAAGUUGACCGCCUGGGGAGUACGGUCGC